rnacentral:lncRNA from 1 species
ACCACACACCCCAGGGCAAGCAAGGGCCCCACUCCUGAGCCUACCUCUGAUCCUACAGUUCCAAGAGACAGAAGCCAACCUUGCCCCUCCCUUCUGGACCCCAGAGUGCCCUGUGGGCACUAUUACUGCUAACGUUUGAGUGCCAGCUCUGUGCCGGGUGCCAUUCUGGGCAGUCGCACCAGCUACCACUACCACCUGUAGCAGUCCUGCCCCCGUUCACAGAAGACAUUCAGGAGCCCAGCCUGUGGGGGCAGUUCACAUCUGGGAUCUCAAGUCCUAACACAACCAAGCAAUCCUCGCUUUACAGAUGAUGAAAUUGAGCCGCC